rnacentral:rRNA from 1 species
AUUUUAAUAAAAGUUUUAUUUUUACUUAAAAAUUUAUAAUUAUUAAUAUUUUACAUGUAAAUAUUUAGUAAAAAAAUUAAAAAAAAAUAAUCUGCAGUAAUUAAUAUUAUUAUAUAAAAGAAAUUUUGAUAUAGUAUUAUAUAAAAAGUUAGUAAAAAUUGUGCCAGCAACUGCGGUUAUACAAUUACCUUAAAUAAAUUUUAUUAGUAAAAGUUAAAUUAAAAAAAUAAAAAAAAUUUAAUUUAAAAUUAUUAAGUGAAAUUUUAAUUUUAAUAAUAUUUUAUAUAAAUAAUAUUUAAAGCUUAAAAAUUUUAUUAAUAAACUAGGAUUAGAUACCCUAUUAUUUAAAUAGUAAAUAUAAAAUAUUAGAUUAGUAUUAGAUAAAUUCUUAAAAAUUAAAAAAUUUGGCGGUAUUUUAAUCUAUUCAGAGGAAUUUGUUUUAUAAUUGAUAAUCCUCAUUAAAUCUUACUUAAUUUUAAAUUAUUUGUAUAUCGUCGUCAUAAGAAAAUCUUAAUAAAGAAAAAAUUUUCUAAUAUAAAAAUUUUUAAUAAUGUCAGAUCAAGGUGCAGUUUAUAAUUAAGAAAAAAUUAAUUACAAUAAAAAUAUUUAAUAAUGAAUUUAAAAUUUCAAUAUUUUAUUGAAGGUGAAUUUGAUAGUAAAUUAAAUAAUAGUUUUUAUUUGAUUAUAGUUCUAAAAUAUGCACAUAUCGCCCGUCACUUUCGUUAUUAAAAUGAAA